GGUGAGUAACGCGUAUGCGACCUGCCCGUCACAGGGGGAUAAUCCGGAGAAAUCCGGUCUAAUACCGCAUAAUAUCGUGAAUCUGCAUGGAUUUGCGAUUAAAGGAGCGAUCCGGUGACGGAUGGGCAUGCGUGACAUUAGCUAGUCGGCGGGGUAACGGCCCACCGAGGCGACGAUGUCUAGGGGUUCUGAGAGGAAGGUCCCCCACACUGGUACUGAGACACGGACCAGACUCCUACGGGAGGCAGCAGUGAGGAAUAUUGGUCAAUGGGCUUACGCCUGAACCAGCCAAGUCGCGUGAGGGAAGACUGCCCUAUGGGUUGUAAACCUCUUUUGUCAGGGAGCAACGCCGGCUACGUGUAGCCGGACUGAGAGUACCUGAAGAAAAAGCAUCGGCUAACUCCGUGCCAGCAGCCGCGGUAAUACGGAGGAUGCGAGCGUUAUCCGGAUUUAUUGGGUUUAAAGGGUGCGUAGGCGGAAUGCCAAGUCAGCGGUAAAAUCGCGGGGCUCAACCUCGCUCCGCCGUUGAAACUGGCGUUCUUGAGUGGGCGAGAAGUAUGCGGAAUGCGUGGUGUAGCGGUGAAAUGCAUAGAUAUCACGCAAAACUCCGAUUGCGAAGGCAGCAUACCGGCGCCCAACUGACGCUGA
rnacentral:rRNA from 1 species